AUGGCUCAGGAUGAACGCUAGCGGCAGGCUUAACACAUGCAAGUCGAGGGGCGACGCGAGUAGCAAUACUUGGCGGCGACCGGCGCAAGGGUGCGUAACGCGUGAGCAACAUGCCCGUAUCAGGGGGAUAAUCCAGGGAAACUUGGUCUAAUACCCCAUAGUAAUUUUUGUAAGGCAUCUUAUAAGAUUUAAAGCUUUGGUGGAUACGGAUUGGCUCGCGUGACAUUAGCUGGAUGGUAAGGUAACGGCUUACCAUGGCUAUGAUGUCUAGGGGUUCUGAGAGGAAGGUCCCCCACACUGGAACUGAGACACGGUCCAGACUCCUACGGGAGGCAGCAGUGAGGAAUAUUGGACAAUGGAUGGAAAUCUGAUCCAGCCAUGCCGCGUGAAGGAAAGAAGGUCCUAUGGAUUGUAAACUUCUUUUGUAUGGGAGCAAUAAGGCCUACGAGUAGGUUGAUGAGAGUACCAUACGAAUAAGCACCGGCUAACUCCGUGCCAGCAGCAGC
rnacentral:rRNA from 1 species